CCGUUGGCGAUUUUUUAUUCCUCUGUCUUCCCUUCUCUGGAUCUUUCAUUCUCCUAUGUUUCCGACGAAGAGCUCCGCUUGAAACGUUAAACCCUCCUUCUUUCCUUCUUUCCUGAGUGUCCUAUAUACUAUAUUUGCUCCACAACCUCGCGUGGUUGUGCUUUCUUUGUGCAUUCAUGUUU